GCUUUUGUAUUCACAGGUCAGCCUCCAAAACAUAAAGGAAAACAAAAAUCCCGAAAUAAUGAAUCAGAGAAAUUCAGUUCUAGUUCACAGUUGACUUUACCAGUUGAUUUGAAAAACAUCUUGGAGAAACAGUUUUCUAAAUCUUCCAGAGCUGCACACCAGGAUUUUGCUAAUAUAAUGAAAAUGCUAAGAAGCUUAAUUCAAGAUGGUUACACAGCCUUAUUGGAGCAGCGUUGCUGAAGUGCUGCGCAGGCCUUUACAGAGUUGCUAAAUGGUUUAGAUCCUCAAAAAAUAAAGCAAUUGAACCUGGCCAUGAUUAACUAUGUAUUAGUAAUAUAUGGACUUGCCAUUUCUCUGCUUGGAAUAGGACAGCCUGAGGAAUUAUCUGAAGCUGAAAACCAGUUUAAAAGGAUUAUUGAACACUACUCCAAUGAGGGACUUGAUUGCUUGGCCUAUUGUGGAAUUGGAAAAGUAUAUUUAAAAAAAAAAACAGGUUAGUAGA